GAAGUGGGGUAUAGCUCAGUGAUAGAGCAUUCGACUGCACAUCGAGCGGUCCCCGGCUCAAGCCAGUGGCCCCUACUUCA